ACAGAGGGUGCAAACGUUGUUCGGAAUCACUGGGCAUAAAGCGCACGUAGGCGGUUAUGUAAGUGUGGAGUGAAAGCCCACGGCUCACCCGUGGAAUUGCUCUGCAGACUGCAUGACUCGAGGAUGGUAGGGGAGAGCGGAACUCCUGGUGGAGCGGUGAAAUGCGUAGAUAUCAGGAGGAACACCGGUGGCGAAGGCGGCUCUCUGGUCCAUUUCUGACGCUGAGGUGCGAAAGCUAGGGUAGCGAACGGG
rnacentral:rRNA from 1 species